rnacentral:rRNA from 1 species
UACAGAGGGGGCAAGCGUUGUUCGGAAUUACUGGGCGUAAAGGGCGCGUAGGCGGCCUGCUAAGUCGAACGUGAAAUCCCCGGGCUCAACCCGGGAACUGCGUCCGAUACUGGUAGGCUUGAAUUCGGGAGAGGGAUGCGGAAUUCCAGGUGUAGCGGUGAAAUGCGUAGAUAUCGGGAGGAACACCUGUGGCGAAAGCGGCGCACUGGACCACAUCUGACGCUGAGGCGCGAAAGCUAGGGGAGCAAACAGG